UACCUGGUUGAUCCUGCCAGUAGUCAUAUUCUUGUCUCAAAGAUUAAGCCAUGCAUGUCUAAGUAUGAACUAAUUCACACUGUGAAACUGCGGAUGGCUCAUUAAAUAAGUUAUAGUUUCUUUG
rfam:Picea glauca, whole genome shotgun sequence.